CAGUCGCCGCGGGAAUACGAAGGGUGCAAGCGUUACUCGGAAUUACUGGGCGUAAAGCGUGCGUAGGUGGUGGUUUAAGUCCGUUGUGAAAGCCCUGGGCUCAACCUGGGAAUUGCAGUGGAUACUGGGUCACUAGAGUGUGGUAGAGGAUAGUGGAAUUUCCGGUGUAGCAGUGAAAUGCGUAGAGAUCGGAAGGAACAUCUGUGGCGAAGGCGACUAUCUGGGCCAACACUGACACUGAGGCACGAAAGCGUGGGGAGCAAACAGGAUUAGAUACCCGCGUAGUCCCUGUCUCUUAUCA
rnacentral:rRNA from 1 species